rnacentral:rRNA from 1 species
UACAGAGGUCCCAAGCGUUGUUCGGAUUCACCGGGCGUAAAGGGUGCGUAGGCGGUCGGGUAAGUCUGGCGUGAAAUCUCCAAGCCUAACUUGGAAACUGCGUUGGAUACUAUCCGGCUCGAGGAAUGGAGGGGAGACUGGAAUACUUGGUGUAGCAGUGAAAUGCGUAGAUAUCAAGUGGAACACCAGUGGCGAAGGCGAGUCUCUGGACAUUUCCUGACGCUGAGGCACGAAAGCCAGGGGAGCAAACGGG